ACUGCAUCCAAUUUUGCCUGGAAUAGUAAGAGCCUUCAUGCAUGAAGGGAUCACAAUACAGAAAAGAAAAUAAAGAAAUAUCACCCAUUAGGAAACAGGGAGAGCGUAGAGCAAACAGAACAAGAAGAGAGACAGAAGACGGCCUGACAGAUGUGAGAUGGGUAAUACAGAUGGAAGACAGAUGAUAAAGAACACAGGCUGGAUGGACAACAAAUGACAAUAGAGAGGUGAUGCACAAUAAUUACAAUUGAUGACGUACACAGGUAAUGUGCUUCUCAGGCUUUUGUCCACUUGAAAUAAGUUAGAGUUAUUUGGGAAGAGGAUCUUCAAUCGAGAAAACACCUCCAACAGAUUAUCUGUAGUGUCAAGGAGGUGGGUAUGCUGAAAACAAGAUGACACUAAUCAGGAGAAGGAAGAGGAGGAGAAGGAAGAGACAAAUGCCUUUAAGUGAGUGCUUGCUAUAUGCCACAAGACUGGAGGAGCAUCAAAUGGACAGAGACGCAUAGAGGAGGAGUGGAGAAAUGAGAUGAAGAUAUGGCAGCGGGAUUCAGAGCUGGGAGGAUGCUAGAGGAAGAGAAGAGGCCACAACAUGUCACUGCUUAGACGCAAAGCUCAGUAGGGGACGUGGCAGGAGGCUAAGAGUUAUCACUCAAGAUGGAAGACUGAUGUGACCAAGGCAGGUUAAGGAAGGAAGGGUUUAUUUUUCUCAUGGUGGGGAAGGCAUGGCAGUAGGGGUACGAGGCCGCUGGUCACACAGCACCCUCAGUGAGGAGGUGGAGAGAAGAAUGCUGGCUCUCAACUCACUUUCUCCAUUUUAUCCAAUCCAGGAGCCCAGACCAUGGUACCACUCACACUCAGGAUGGGUCUUCCUACCUCAGUUAAACCUCCUUGGAAAAGACUUCAGGCAUGCUCAGAUGAGUGUGCCCAAAGUUAUCUGGAACCCCACCAAGUUAUCUGCCAACAUUAACCAUCUCCGGUGUUAUAGGGUAGGUGUGCUAUGUCAGGAGAGACCCAGUACUGGAAACAAACCAAGAUCUUAUCCUGGACAUGUUACACGCAAGGGGAUGACAGGCUAACACAAGAUGAAAUUAAUGUAAGUUUUAAACCCAUAACAAGGUAGAGAAGCCAAGGUGAGAACUGGGAACCAGCUGCAAUGGACGCCACACCAGUACACGGGGAUCAACACCCUCCACGGUGUGCUGUGGCAGAGCUUAGGAGGCAGAGACAGAAGGAUCCAGAGUACAAGAUUAUUCUGGGCUGCACAGCAAGAAUGAAGCUUGAACUACACAGGAAAAUUUUCUCUCCAAAAUAAAGAAAAUAGCAAGCUAUCUUCUCCACAGAGUCAUUCUGAAA